AGUCGAACGAAGAGAAGCUUCGGUUUUUCUUAGCGGCGAACUGGUCAGUACAAGUUGGGUAACUUGCCCGAAAGUGGGGGACAACUUCCCGAAAGGGGAGCUAAUACCGCAUGUGGUCCCGGGGUCUUCGGACUCUGUGACUAAAGCAGCGAUGCGCUUUCGGAUGGGCCCGACUCUCAUUAGCUAGUUGGCGGGGUAAAAGCCCACCAAGGCUACGAUGAGUAGGUGGUCUGAGAGGAUGUUCACCGACACGAGGACUGAGAUACGGCCUCGACUCCUACGGGGGGCAGCAGUCUAGGAGCUUCGGCAAUGGGGGAAACCCCGACCGGGCGACGCCGCGUGGAGGAUGAAGGUCUUCGGAUUGUAAACUCCUUUCGGCCGGAAGGAAGGCCCAGGUGGCGAACUUGGGAUUGACCUACCGGCGGAAGAAGCCCCGGCUAACUCUGUGCCAGCAGCCGCGGUAAUACAGAGGGGGCAAGCGUUAUUCGGAUUUACUGGGCGUAAAGGGCGCGUAGGCGGCUCGGCAAGUCUGGUGUGAAAACGCUACCGCUCAACGGAGCGAAUGCGCUGGAUACUGCCGAACUUGAGUCCGCGAGAGGUUGGUGGAAUACCUGGUGUAGCGGUGGAAUGCUUAGAUAUCAGGUGGAACACCCGAGGCGAAGGCGACCAACUGGCGCGGUACUGACGCUGAGGCGCGAAA
rnacentral:rRNA from 1 species